UACGUAGGGGGCAAGCGGUUGUCCGGAAUCAUUUGGGCGUAAAGAGCGUGUAAGGGCGGCUCGAUAAGUCUGCUGUGAAAAGUCCAGGGCUCAACCCGUGGAAGGCCGGUGGAAACUGUCGGGCUAGAGUCCGGAAGAGGCGAGUGGAAUUCCCGGUGUAGCGGUGAAAUGCGCAGAUAAUCGGGAGGAACACCAAUGGCGAAGGCAGCUCGCUGGGACGG
rnacentral:rRNA from 1 species